UACAGAGGGGGCAAGCGUUAUUCGGAAUUAUUGGGCGUAAAGGGCGCGUAGGCGGCCUGCUAAGUCGGACGUGAAAUCCCCCGGCUCAACCGGGGAACUGCGUCCGAUACUGGUGGGCUCGAAUCCGGGAGAGGGAUGUGGAAUUCCAGGUGUAGCGGUGAAAUGCGUAGAUAUCUGGAGGAACACCGGUGGCGAAGGCGGCAUCCUGGACCGGCAUUGACGCUGAGGCGCGAAAGCCAGGGGAGCAAAGCAGG
rnacentral:rRNA from 1 species